CAUUGGAAUUAGCUGAAACAGCACAGCGUGUUAAAAUAAGGCUUUGUCCGUAUUCAACUUCGCAAGAGGUGGCACCGAUUCGGUGCUUUUUUU
rnacentral:sRNA from 1 species